GGCCUAGUGGCGAAGCGGUAACGCAACUGUCUGCAAAACAGUUAUUCGUCGGUUCGAUUCCGACCUAGGCCUCAA
rnacentral:tRNA from 1 species